UACGAAGGGGGCUAGCGUUGCUCGGAAUCACUGGGCGUAAAGCGCACGUAGGCGGCUUUUUAAGUCAGGGGUGAGAUCCUGGAGCUCAACUCCAGAACUGCCUUUGAUACUGGGAAGCUUGAGUCCGGAAGAGGUGAGUGGAACUCCGAGUGUAGAGGUGAAAUUCGUAGAUAUUCGGAAGAACACCAGUGGCGAAGGCGGCUCACUGGUCCGGUACUGACGCUGAGGUGCGAAAGCGUGGGGAGCAAACAGG
rnacentral:rRNA from 1 species